AUAAAGAAAACAAUAAAUACUUUCCCUUGGUUAGGAACUUUUCCAACUUUAAUAUGGUAUCUUAAAAUAAUUUAAAUUAUCUCCCUAAAGUAUUUAUUUCUUACAUAUUGUUGUUAUUUUUCCGGAUAACAAUUCAGUUUCAAAAGUUAAGGAAAGAAACGAAAGAAGACAAUUGACAGGAAAGAAGAUAUUUAAUUAAAAAUGAUCUCUUUGGUAUUAUAAUUAUGUUUCUUCGUUAUUCCCAGAGGAACGUCUCGCGAAAUAAACGAUUAUCUUUUACAGUUUAUGCAGGAAAUACCGACUGACAAAAUAUUGCACUCCGGAGGUCGUGUUAGAAAAAUGGAACAGCAGAAUUGAAGGUCUUCGUGUCGCCAAACGGGAUUUUAUGCAACAUAAUUACAGCCCUUCGUCGGUAGCAAAUUGUCAAUCCACCAACGUAUGUCCGGCUAGUCCGUAAAUUGGCCAGAAUAUUAUUUAAUCUUUGCAUACCGUUAAUUAACCAUGAAUCACCUCAACAUGCAACCGCACAACUGCCAUUUCACUCUACCGUCAUAAAAACUUAGUUCAAACGGGACAAUCUUUUCCAAGAGUUCCUCUGGUUACAUCUCUUUUCACCAAAAUUUACUACUGUGAAAACGAGAAGAGGAAAAAAAUGACAAUAUGGCGACAAAUAAAAGUCUCAUUGUGAAUGGAAUUUUCAUAUCAGAGGGGCUGCGCUUCUAAAGACACACGAAGUGCAAUAAUCGCCUGACAACUCUGACCCUAACGACGAAUUCUUACACUCAUCCGUAACCAGAUAUUGGAAACCAACUCUGAACAUUAACUAUCAUACUAUACAUAACAUUAUUACACAUAACAUCACCAUAAUGCUAUUCGAUUAAUAAGAAUUUUUAUUUUCCGAAUUUUAUUUUAUUCGACACUUAUAAGGAAUUAUAAUCGUUCAGUUAUUAAUACCAAGAAAGAACAUAGCAGCACCAUUGACAUAGAAUCGAUAUUUACACGUUACAUUUUUCCAUCGAUCACGAAUGAUUUAAAACAAUGUCACACGUAGCUAACAGAUAAAUUUAUCAAUUCGCGAUAUAUUUCUUGAACAAUUUGGAUAUCGAUCUAGACUUCUAACACGCGUACCGACACGAACAGUAUUUACCGCUGAUAAGAGGGCAAAACUACAGGGACACGAAACUGGAUGAGACUUAUCCUGCAUACGUGACGCUUCCAUCAACGAAGACGACUAUUAUCUACUUACUGAUCGUCACUUGGCAAACAGCGGUUGUAUCGUGUCUCGUUUACGAACCCCGUCUCAUACUACGUACUCAGAUAAUGUUAGUUGUAGCAUUCCUGAUGGUGGUAUUCCAGGUUGUGGCAUCCCAGGUUGCGGCAUCCCAAGUUGUGGCAUCCCAG